UUUUGAAAAAUUUUUGAGGAAAAAGAAAAAAAAUUUGAGUGGCAAAAGUUGUAAGAAGGGUGGUGAGAUUUUUAGCAAGUGUUGCUAGUAUGCCAUAGGAUUUCAUUUUUCUAUAUGUUGGCAUCAAAAAUCAAAUCUUAGAUUGUGUGACAUUUGAAGAGUAUCUUUUUGGUGUCAUUCUGGUGGUAAGAUCGAAAGCAACUGCACUUUGACGCGAUCGUAAUGCAAGUUCGAAGUCGACAGUGUUCUUAAGAAGACAAGGCUGCGGCAGUGCACUGAUUGGGAAGGACCUUGGCCUACUUUCAUGUGGAUCACUAUUGAAAAAAUUCUAUCUUGGAAUCUCGUGGAGAACACCAACAUGCCACUUUUUUAUUUUGAUGAAAGUAUAAAAUUCUAUCCCUUUACAUGCUUGAUUUUGUUUUAUCGAUAUCGGCAAAGUGAUUCUAGGAUUUG
rnacentral:lncRNA from 1 species